rnacentral:sRNA from 1 species
UCCAGCACUAAUAAUCUUCAAUCUCCAUAGCUGGAUCCUGCUCCCCCUCACAGUUCAAAUGUGCCGACGGCUCCAAAUGUAUCGACGCCAGGUGGGAGUGUGAUGGAGACUUGGACUGCAGAGAUGGAAGUGACGAGAAGUCUUGCACAUGUGAUGCCACCAGCCAGUUCAAGUGCUCCAAUGGUCUGUGUAUUCCCAUCACUUGGAAAUGCGA